rnacentral:rRNA from 1 species
UACGUAGGGUGCAAGCGUUACUCGGAAUUACUGGGCGUAAAGCGUACGCAGGCGGCUUUGCAAGACAGGUGUGAAAUCCCCGGGCCUAACCUGGGAACUGCAUUUGUGACUGCAUGGCUAGAGUUUGUCAGAGGGGGGUGGAAUUCCACGUGUAGCGGUGGAAUGCGCAGAUAUCAGGAGGAACACCAACGGCGAAGGCAGCUCGCUGGGACGGUACUGACGCUGAGGCGCGAAAGCGUGGGGAGCGAACAGG